rnacentral:rRNA from 1 species
CCUACGGGGGGCAGCAGUGAGGAAUAUUGGUCAAUGGACGCAAGCCUGAACCAGCCACGCCGCGUGCAGGAUGACGGCUCUAUGAGUUGUAAACUGCUUUUGUACGAGGGUAAUAUCAGAUACGUGUAUCUGCUUGACAGUAUCGUACGAAUAAGGAUCGGCUAACUUCGUGCCAGCAGCCGCGGUAAUAAGGAGGAUCCAAGCGUUAUCCGGAUUUAUUGGGUUUAAAGGGUGCGUAGGCGGUUUUAUAAGUUAGAGGUGAAAAUUCGGGGCUCAACUCCGGACGUGCCUCUAAUACUGUAUGACUAGAGAAUAGAUGCGGUAGGCGGAAUGUAUGGUGUAGCGGUGAAAUGCGUAGAGAUCAGACAGAACACCGAUUGCGAAGGCAGCUUACUGAACUGUAACUGACAUUGAUGCUCGAAAGUGUGGGUAUCAAACAGGAUUAGAUACCCGAGUAGUC